CUUGUGUCGGGCAGGGCUGUAUCCAUGUCUGUAGCAGGUCUCCAAGGUGAACAGCCUCUGGAAGGCUGGAAAAAUGUAG